AAUCCACACCAAAUACGUUAGAUAUGAAUGGUGACAUUAGCUAUGUACCACAAUGACUCAAGUUCCAUUGGGUUAGGCUAGCCUAGCUUCUCUCUAGUUUUUCAAUCUAUAGACAUGGAAUGCGAUUUGAUUAUGAGGCUUUUUUGGUCAAGGUCCAAAAUAGUUUUUAUAGCACACUUUGGGGAUUGUCUUUCUUUAAGAUCCUUCUUUCAAAAUAAAAUACAAAAACAAUAUUUUUUUUUUCAGUUGUAAUUAACAGUUAUAAAUUGAAUUAUAAAAGUCUAACUAUAAUAAUAUUUUACCUACGACAUCCCCAACGCAAUAGGGAUCCAAUAUUGCAGUACGUGUUAAGAGUGACAUGGUGUUAUGAACGACGUGCCUUAAUUGUUCAUACUUAUAUGAACUCUCAGAUGUUCGACUGAAAUGCUGGAAAUUAUUAAAAAAAAUAUUUAGACUCUUAUAUAUAUAAACAAUUAAUUAUGUUAUUUUAAAAAAUAACUAAAAAUAUGAUUUUAGCCAUUCCAACUCAAUUUUCUUCAUAUAAAACCCUACAUAACUUUUUUAUUCAAAGAAAACCCAAUGACUAGGAUCUACAUAAGCAAAUUCAUUAAUUUCAUAUUACUUCACACAUUUUACAUUUUUCACAUGCCUAAAAUACCCCUAUUACAUAUUUGAUGUAGACAAUUAAUUGUAAGGAGAGAGUAAAUGAUUUUGCAACAAGAAAAAAAAAAUUAAUGUUUAAAAUUUAUUGCAUAUUAAUUUUUUAGAAAGGCUUUAAAUUUUCAUAAAACUAUUCGAUUCAGUUUUUUUCACUCUACUCUUAAUACUUUUGAAUUUAUCCUUUUUUUAUUAAUAUAUUAGAACAUUGUAUUUCAUUAUCUACAUGCACAUUAAUUUACCUACAACAAUUAUACCAUGAGUGUAAUAUAAUAUUUUUUUUUUACAAUGAUGCAAAAUAAUGUUUAUACUAACAACAAAACGUGCCUAACAUAUGUAUUAAUACAUGAAAAAUAAUUUACCUAUAUUAAGAAGAAAUGUAGUUCGAUGCAUAGUAUUAAAAAUACUAUGUUACACCCAUGUUUAUACAACAAUAAAACAUGCCUAACAUAUCUAACAAUACAUGGAAAAUGAUUUACCUACAAGUUAGAUAAAUGUUAUUUGGUUGGGUGUAGUAUAAUUUUUUUAAUAAUUGGAAAAAUUAAAUAUAACUAGGUGUAGUGUAAUUUUUUUUAUAUAAUUAGAACAAAUUAAUUUACCUACCUACUAUUUGAAAUGUUCAUUUCUAAUGAUGCAAAAUGUUCAUUACCUAACUACAAAUUAAUUUCCAAUAAUUUACCUACAACAAUUAUACCAUGGGUGUAAUGUAAUAUCUUUCUUUACAAUGAUACAAAAUAUUGUAUGUACCAACAACAAAACGUGUCUAACAUAAGUACUUGUACAUGGAAAAUAAUUUACCUAUAACAAAAGAAAUGCAGUUUGAUGUAUAAAAUCAACAAUAUUAUGUUCCACUCAUGUUUAUACAACAACAAAACGUGUCUAACAUAUAUAACAAUACGUAGAAAAUAACAUACCUACAAGUUAGAGGAAUGUUAUUUGAUUCAAAAUAUAUAAUAUAGGUGUAGUAUUUUUUAAAAAAAAUAAUUGGAACAAACUAAUUUACCUACCAAUUAAUAUAGGUAAAAUUGCUACAAAAUAUAUCACGAAAAAAAAAAACUAUUUUUCUAGUUUGACAUGGAUACAGUUAAUGCAAACACUUUUUACAUUUUAUUUCACUUUUUCUACUACUUUUAAUUUGGCAUAAAUUUAGGAAUUUGGAAAAUGGACCAUAAAGUAUGAGUGGCAUGAGUGUAAAUAAAUUGUAUUAAUAGGUCAAUAGUGUUCCCAUAUGUUUGUAAAUUUUAAAUUUGAGCUUAAACUGAAUCUUUAAAGAUAAAUGAGUUUUUAUCUAGAAAUAUUGAGUUGUAAGAGCCAAAAUCUAAAGCACCCUAAAAAUAAUUCACUUAUUGAUCUGCCCCUGAUCCUAAUGGCCCCCAAUAAUUCUUUUAGUCAAUGUGAAUCCACACCUACACAAAUGCUAUUUCUCCAAAUUUUUACCAGAUUUAGGAUGCCAUGGUAAUUCCUAUAAAAGAAUUACAAAUUAGAACAAAAAAUAGGUUUUAUUUUCAUCGACAAAUUUCAUACAUAUUCUUUUUAAACAUUUGAUCCAAAAUAGUUUGAAUAUAAAAUUGUUGGUGGAGAAUCUUUCUUUAAGAUCCUUCCUGCAAAAUAAAAUAUAUAAGAUCCAAAAUAGUUUGAAUAUCUGAUUUUUUUAUUCUACUACAAAACUGGGUUGGGCUAGCCUAGCUUCUAUUUAGUUUUUCAAUCUGUAGACAUGGAAUGCGAUUUGAUUCUAAGGCUUUUUUGGUUAAGGUCCAAAAUAGUUUUUAUAGCACACUUUUGGGGGAGUGUCUUUCUUUAAGAUCCUUCCUGCAAAAUAAAAUACAAAAACAAUAUUUUUUUUUCAGUUGUAAUUGACAAUUAUAAAUUGAAUUAUAAAAGUCUAACUAUAAUUAUAUUUUACUUAAGACAUCCCCACUGCAAUAGGGAUCCAGUAUUGCAGUGCGUGUUAAGAGUGACAUGGUGUCAUAAACAACAUGCCCUAAUUGUUCAUACUUGUGAACUCUCAGAUGUUCGAUUAAAAUGCUGGAAAUUAUUAAAAAGGUAUUUAGACUCUUAUAUAUAAAAACAAUUAAUUAUGUUAUUUUUAAAAUAAAUCACUUACUGAUUUGCCCCUUAUCCUAUUGCAAAUGUAUAGCCCCAAUAAUUCAUUUAGUCGAUGUGGUAAUACAAUACAUCUGCGGGAAUAUGCUACUAUUGUCCCAACCCAUCACCAGGGAAUGAGCGGGUGAUUGACUAGCAAAAAUCACAUGAUUCGAAAAAUGCUAAGCAAUUUCCAAUACUAUAUGAUGGUGGGAAUGUUUUAACCUAACAACAUGAUUAAAAAGUUAAUUAACAAAAUAAUAACCUAUUUUAACACUUUAUUGAUACAAUCCCACAAAAGUGCUUAAUGUGCCCAACACGGUAUAAAAAAUAGUGGCGG
rnacentral:lncRNA from 1 species